UUAAGAAAUGGGGAACUUGGACUGCUUCUCAUGUAAGGAGCAAAGGAGAAUUACUAGGCAAGUGCUACAGAGCAAGUUGGAUGCCGGGCCUGACCAGAGGCUGGAAGGCUCCGGAUGUGGCACAUUGGAACUGCAUCAAGUGCCAAAAACAGACUCAGCUGCAUUGUGAAGCUUUAUGCAUUGCUCGUGAAGCAGUAAAGGGGCUGACUACAACACCGGCAAUUGUGCUCACUUGAAAAAGAAGUGACACUGAGCUCCCGUCUCACACCCUGACAGCCUGUUCCAGAGCUUUAUCAAGUGCCAGACACUGGAGAGUGGUGAAGAUACAGCUGCCUUCAAGAAUCAUGGAGACCCUGCCUUUGUGAUCCAAAUAGAACUUCUACUCUGAAGAUCUGAAGCUGAUGUCAUGUCUGGGAUCCAUGUUUCUCUGAACCUGAGAUGAAGACCAAGGCCAAAUUCUGCUUUUGGAAUCUGGGGACUCUCAAUCCAGGGGCUGAGUUUUCAACAAGAACCAAAAUGAAAGUAGAUUUACUUCUCCAUUAACUCCUGGCAAUGAUGCAAGUCUUCAAAGCCUUGAGUUCAAAACCGGUACCGUCUCCUUGAGUGAAAGCGGCCUUCCUCUCCACUUUGUCUAAGGAUAGGAAGGCACUGGCCACCUGUCUAGAGAUGUGACCUUUAACCUUACAUUUCAGCAGACAGCUUCUCAAGUGCAUUGCAUUAAAAUUACCAACCUUGGAGGGAUAAAGAGAUCUGGGAUUUAAACAUAUCCUUAUAUGAUUUUUUUUUACUUUUAUUUGAUAAAAAUGCCAGGGUUGAGAUAGCACUGAAAAGAGGAAAAAAAGAAAAAAAAAAAAACCCAGCAAGAAUUCUCCAAACUCCUUUCUUGGCUCGUGUUUAUUCUCAUGCCUUAGUAUAUUUCAAAGUACAACCAAGUUGUUAAUGUUUUUCAUUAAACAAAACAAUGUAAUGUCAGCCACAAUGGUUUUUAUCAGCCUGACUACCAGCUGACAGGUAAUGAGUUUGAGCCACGAGACUCAAGGUCACUUUCACUGUUUUCUCAUUUGUGUCCCAGUUGUAAUUCACUCUCUGUAAUGCUCUCCCUGAAACACCCUGCUUUAGAUAUAUCAUUGCUUUCUCCCUUAGGACCAGGACAAAUAGUGCAGCCCGCACCACGCAGAGCCCAGUGCUGGAUUAGCAUAGUGAUUCAUAUUUUGUGAGCUGUGUUUCUGAAGUUUAGAGAGUGACAGUCAUUUGUACCCUCAAAGCAGUGAAUUAGUCAUCAGGCGCUGCUGGCUGCUAAAUGGACCACUUUGGCAUCUAGACCCCACAGGACUUGGCGUAAGGUAGGGUUUGUUCUGAACUUCAACAGGGUUUGAACUGCAUCAAGAAUGUGCUGUUUUUUGAAUUUAACUCGACUGGUAUAUUUUGAGAGUCCCGAGAUGGCUGACUAGGGUCUCAGCCUACCGCCUAGCCACAUGUUUUGGUUGGCUGUCCUUGUUUAGUUGAUAAUUGUGUCCAAGGAAGCCAGAUGUGGUAGUUAGCAUGCCUACAGUCCCGGUUUAGGGAGGCUGAUGCAGCUUGAGCCACACAGUUCCAUCUUGUCUUAAACAGCAGCAGAAGCAACAGCAAGAAAAGGAAGCAAACACCCCAAAGCAAAACUAUCUCUACCCAACAAAAACUUGAGCAAGUAUUAAAGGAUAAACUGUAGCAGCUGUCCACCCCUUCCCUGUAGUUGGUACUUUCCAUUCCAAACUCCGGCCCUUUCCACUCCUCACUGUGAAGCCUUCCUCUCUCCCCUUCCUUAUCCUCGCUAUGAUGUAUUGGUCAUUUAUACUCACCAUAUUUUUCUACCAUGUGAUUUUGUUCUAUCAUUUACUUAAAUGUUUCUCUCUUGGUCUAGCCUAUUUUUCAAAAAUUUCCAAACAUUAGUUGAACUCAUCAAAGAAUUAUUAACAACCAAAUCACUUUUAUAACAAAACAAAACAAAACUUUCUUUCCAUUGCGUGUGGUGAUACACACAUGAGUCCAAACCCAAAACAAGGGCAGACAAGGAACAAGGAUGGCCAAGGAGGAAGAUGUACUACCUGCUGCUUGUUGGGAGAUCCUGGGAAAUCAUUUUCAAAGCUACAUGGUCUGAGAAUAAACAGGCCUCAGGAUUUUAAACGGGGGAGGGCAUGUUUAUUUAUAAAUGAAGGUGGGCAUGACCCCAAGCAUGCUCUGUUUAAAAUGGUCAAGGUCAUAUUUCAAGGAGGAAAGAUAACAAAAAAGAAAUACUCUGGAUAUGCUUAAUGUAUGUCAGAAAUGUGGUAGGUCUCAGUAGUCCCCAGAGUGUUUAGCUUCGUUUCUAAAAAAUAUUUAUCUGCAACCAAAGGAAGAACCACUCUUAAAGAUGAAUUAAUAUAAGAGUUUGCCCCUAGGGAAGCUACCUUACCUAACUGCUAACAAUCUAGCAUUCAGAAAGCUGAGGCAGAAGGAUUAGUACUUUGAAACCAGCCUGGAUUAUAUAGUGAGAGUCUGUCUGUCUGUCUGUCUCUCUCCCUCUCACACACACACAGAAAUUCUCUCUCAUGUAAUUUUUUUAACUUUUUUUUUUUUUUAAGACAGAGUCUCUGUGUGUAGCCUUAGAAGUUGCUGUAUAGACCAGGCUGGUCCCCAACUUGCAAUCACCUGCCUCUGUCUUCUGCGUGCUGGGGCUAAAGGCUUGCACCAAAACCGCUCCUGGUUCACAUUAAUAUUCCUAAGCAGAUUCUUAUUAGUGAUUUUAACUGAACACAAAAAGACAGGAAAAAUAUCUACAAAGAAAUAAUAUGCUGACGCCUUCAAGCCAUACUUUAGGUAGAGUACAUAAAUGGACAUGAACUAGUUAAGUUGUAAAAGAAUAUAAAUAAAACAAAUGUUAGCUUACCGGUUGCUGUGGAUAGAGGGAUUCAGGUAAAAGGGGAAUAGUGAUGUGGUAAUGCAAGAAGGCAACAAGGGCUAAAGGUCUUGGGCCAGGCAGGAAGAAAGACUUUAAUAAGACCCACCACCUAAGCUAACUCCUACUAACCUUGUUCCCCUCCCUAUUGCUAAUGAGUUCAAGCUAAAGUGCAUAAAUUGCAAACAGCCAAGACUUACCUGAAGACUCUGGGCCUUGAUAAGCAAUCUAAAGAUUGAAAGAUUAUAUUUUAUAAUUAAAUCUUUCUGUAACCUUGAGUUGAGUACGUGCAAGGUGAGAAGGUAAAGACCAUCCUGCUGUGGGGAACAGUUUCCAGGCUAGGAGGGGAUGUGCCCUUCUAAACCCAGAGUUCUUUGACUGUGAUUUCCAGAAGAAUUCUCUGAACUAAGGGCUGCAUGUUCAUAUGGGUGAGCCGAAGUGAUAGCGAAUCACACUGGUUUUUGUCUUGUUUUUUCUUUCUGAGAUUCAGAGGCUGAUGUGAUAGUGGUGAGUGAUUGUACUCUAUCAAGGCAACUGUUGCAGAGCUACCACAUUUAAAAGGAAAGCCUUUUGUAUGGACUCAUGGACUGCAUCUAUCCUGCAAAAUUGGCCGCUGCAGGCACAGUAUUAUGCCAUAGUCAAAGCCCUUGAUAACAUGUGGAUUCAAAGCCUACAGGCACUUGACCUUGCAAGGAACUCAGGGUUCACAAGGAUCGUCACAUUUUCCCAUACUGCCUUUCUUUGGUCUUAAGUCUACUGUUUGCUAAAUAAUUCCCCCUAGUUAAGGAACCUCAACAAUCUACUAGACGUUCUGAUCCUCCUGAGACCAUGGAAGUAUCGAGAACUUUAGUCAUACUUCAUCCUUCAAGGUCACACAAUCAAUUGCAAGGAAAGCCUUUUGCUACUCUUAAUUUAAAUUUUUAAGACUUAUUUUCGGUUGUAUGGGUACGUGCUCCUGAGUGCAGGUUCUGGCAGAAGGCACUGGAUCCUCUGGAACUGGAGUUACAGGCAAUUGUGAGGCAAGCACUUCUGGACCUCUGCCAUCUCUCCAGCUCCACUCUGCUGUUCUCGUCGCAAUGGGAUGUUUACCCUCUGGGUCAGCAACUGUUGUUUCAUUUGCUAUUUUUUGUUUUGUUUUGUUUUUUUUUUUGUUUGUUGUUUUUUUUCCCCCUUCUGGGACUCUGACUGUGAGCCACAUGCUACAAAGUGGAAAUGAGGAAGCAUUCCUCUGUCACCUGAAAUAUUUUCUUCCUGGGAGGAAAGAGCAAGCUGUUAUCCACCCAUAGAUGAGGGGACAUGGAGCUGCCCAAAUUGUCACUCCUAUUGGUUUCCUAGGACUGAUGAAACAAACUUGAGGACCUGGGAUUCGGAAAGACCAGCGUGUGUUCUCCCACAGCUGAAGAGGCUGAAAUCUGUGAUGAAGUAUCUGCAGGCUCUCAGCAAGAACACUUCCGUGUCUCUCCCUGGCUUCUGCUGGUUAUGAGCGCUCCUUACUGUGUGGUGGUAGCAUCUGCCAGGCUUCUCUCACAGUCUCCUUAACACAUGGUUUCUCCCUGUGUGCCUUUAGGUAUACUUUUCUCUCUCCUUUAAGGACACUUUUAUUGGACUUAGGACCCACUCAAAUCCAAAAUGACCUUAUCUCAAACCUGCAAAGAUCCAAUUUCCAAACGAGGUCACGUUCUUGAGGUUGUAGGUAGACAUCAAGCAUGUGGGAGGUCGUUACUGGUGUGCUGUUUCCACCUACUCUCCCUCCCACCGUAGCCCACCAGACCCAACCCUGGAGAACCUUUUGCUCUGAAAAUGCCUUCCCCACAAUACAGACUGGCAUUCUAUUCAGAGUUUCAGCCAGACUGCCUGAUGAGAAGCUGAUGUUAUCACCAUCACCUCUAAGAAAAGGAACUCCAUGGAUAGCAAAGAGCACCAACCAGGAAGCUACAGCUGUAAAAGGAAGCAGCAAGUGCUAUUGUGUGGGUGGGAAGACCAAACACCAUUCUUGAGCGUUAAACCCACAGAGUAAAUAAAAUCUCCGUCAGCACCAAGAGGAUAUAUUGGAUUCCAGGACAAAUAAAUGUCUGAGUCUGUAGCUAUUAUUCAACUUCUGUAAGCUAUCCUUAGGAAACUAUAGAUGGUGAAGAUUUUCUGGAAGAACAAACCAAACUAAAAUCCUGCUGAAAGGCUGGUGGCAUCAGGCUGUCAGCUCAGUGGUAGAAUUGGGGCUUAGCAUGCAUGAAGACCUUGGUUCCACCUUUUGCAUUGGCAAAAACAUAAAUAAAAAUAACCGUAGUUUUGAAGGAGAAAACUCCUGCAUACAAGUCUAACACACUCUACAGAGCCGAGGGUAUUUUCCCUUUGCAAGCUCAGUGAGGACGCAUCACAUGUGGCUGAGGUCAAAUCAAAGGUUUGUCCUAUAAGCCUGUCACAUAGAGAUAAAGCCCAGGAUGGAACCAAAUACAAAGUUUCUUUUUCUAGAGCAGUGAUUCUCAACCUUCUUAAUGCUGAAGCCUUUUAAUACAGUUCUGCAUGCUGUGGUGACUCCCCAACCAUAUUUUCGUUGCUAUUUCAUAACUGUAAUUUUGCUACUGUUGUGGAUUGUAAUGUAAAUAUACGAUAUACAGGCUCUCUGAUAUGUGAUAUGAUAUACAGGUUAUCUGAAAAGGCUGAGGUUGAGAACAGCUGUCCUAUGGUGUCAGAAUGAAUUGCUCUCCCAACACUGACACCCGAGAACCAGGAAGUCAUGUUCGAAGUCUUGGUGUCCAGAGUUUCCCUUGGAGCUCUAUUACACAGGAAAGGCUGAUUCAUUACAUGGUGGACUCCGGUUUCCAGUCCUUAUCAACUCUUUAAUGACCCAAAGUCCCCAGCCACAGAGGUUAGUUCUGCUUGACAGGGCUCACCCCUCAGCCCAUCGCUCCCAAAGGCAUUCUCUCUGGACACGUGUGGAGGACAGAAGUAAGGCUUCUUUUGGAGCAAGGUUUAAUUUUGUAUUGCGAAUCCCUGAGAAGCUGGAUGCCUUCACUGAUGCGUACGCCAGUUCAGGUUGUUUGCAUCUAGGAAAGCUCAUGGGGCUGGAGACACAAGAGAAGGCUUGGUUGAUGGAAACGCUUGCUGCUUUUUCAGAGGCUCCGAGUUCAGUUCCAGCAGCCACAUUGGGUAGCUCACAACUGCUUAACCGUACUUCAGGGCACCCUAAUUCUAUGACACCACACACAUGCACACAGACACACAAUGCACAUAAGUAAAAUAAAGCAAAUCUUUAAAACACCCUAAGUAAUUUUGGCUUGGAGUAUAACUUAGUAGAAAUAAAAAUGAAAUAAAUCUCACUAGUUUGGGCUGGGGUAUUUCCUAGUAGGUAGAGUGCCUUCAUAGCAUGUUUGAAGCCCUGGAUCUGAGUCUGAGUACCCCAUAAACCAGGCAUGGUGGUACACAUGUGUGUAAUAUUAGUACUUGGGAGGCAGAGGCUAUAGUGUCAGAAGUUCUAGGUCAUCCUCAGCUAUAUAGGGAAUAUGAGGGCAGCCUAGGAUGCGUAAGAUUUUAACUCAAAAGUAAAACCAAAAGCAGAGAGAUGGCUGAGUGGUUAAGAGCACUUGCUGCUUUACCAUGAAGACCAGAAUUCAGAUCCCAGCACCUACACUGGGCAUCUCACAUGCCUGUAACUCCAGUGUCAAGGGGUCUGACAAAUGCUUGUAAGUCUGUCUCUGAGACCCUCUUCUGACUUUGCGCGUGCACACACACACACACACACACACACACACACAUGAAAGAAUAACACAAAAUAAAAUAAUAAUAAUAGCACUGCGUACAACUCAGAAAUUCUAUAAACUCUUUAUUGAUUAGUACAGAAUAUGAAGCAACCUAGAAUAGUGGACAUUGGUUUGGAUUUUUUACUAAAGUGUCAUGCUGUUCGCUAUGUGUUUUCCAAAAAAAUUCCCACUCCUUUUGUGCCUCAGUUUUCUCCUUCACAAACUGGGUAAGUAACAAAUCCAAACUCUAAUAAAUCAAUACAUGUGAAAUAAUUAAAACAGUACUUACUGUAUACCAACUGCUCAACUUACUUUAAAAUAUUAAUCAGUAAUAAAUCACAACAUAAAAUUUAUCAACAUGAAAUAUUUGGCCUUUUCUCUUUUCAUGUAAUUGAUGACCAGUUGGAUGUAUUUCCAGCGCUUUUUAUAUCUUAAAAGCUUAAGUAAACAUUAAUAAACAUUAAAAAAAACAUUAACAAACAUUAGAGAACCAUACCACACAGAGCCUUCAAUUUUACUAUUUCAAGUUUUCAUAGCCUUACUUAUUUGUAAACGAGUAGGAGUUCUGAAGUCAUUUGGAUAUUGGAUGAAUGGGUGAAACUUAAGCCACAGCAUAACUGACAUUUUUCUGUUUGUACAUGCACUAAGCAUGGGAGCGGCUGCAAGCCACCUGGGCUAGAGAUGCCAAAAGGUGCCUUUGAUCUGUUUAAAGUCAUAAUAACAAAUGUUUGUCCCCACACAGUCCUGUUCAGCUUCACAAUUCUUUCGUCACAUCGGAGUGUAAUAUUUGCCAAGAAACACCACUUUCCAAAUGUUGAGUCAAAAAAACAAAACAAAACAAAAUAAUAAUCUCAUGGAAAUUUCUGCUUACCUCGGAAGCAAAGUUAUAGCUUUCCUAUUGUGAAAUAGUAAAAGAGGAGGAGGAAAGAAAGAUUCUUUUUUAACUGCUAUGCUAAGAGUCUCCAAAUGUUGCAGCAAAUAUACAAUUAUUUCCAAUUAAAUGAAAACCUGAGCAAAGCUUUCCAUAUGCCAGUACUAGGCUGGUGGACUUAAGGAUAUGCAUGCAUAGAGCCUGACAGAGGCCAAGAUAAACCCAGUACUGAGGGGCAUCGACUCCAUCAGGUGAAGCAGUUUGAUUCUGCCUGAGUGAGGUAGAAGCAGGAGCCCUCCAACCAUCAGUGAUUUGAGGCAUGAUGGCGGAGGAAAUGCCUAAUUUAUGGAAUGUCUAUGCGGUGCUCUAUGCACAACAAUGGUUGGGAACAAGGAAUGACUUCUUACAUGGGCCUGGAGAGACAUGUGCCCAUCAGCCAGGGAAGGUGACCUAAGGGUUUUCAACUCACUGGAGUGAAACAAAGGAACAUACACCUUUUGGGACGAGACACAGUUGCCCUGAAACACUGGCCUCCAUGUAAGUAGCUCUUCUUCCUCCUUUUUAGGUUGAGAUCUAACUGAUUAAGCUAACCACAGCAAGAAUUUAUAGAAAUCUUUCUUACCUUUCAAGAGAUGUUUAGAGCCAUUACCAUGAGCUGCUCCAAAUAAUGUUAUGAGGGUCGUGAGCACCCAUGAGGACAGUGUCCUCAGGCUGGUAGCUGUCAGAGAGGUGAUUCCAGGGCUGUCCUUGGAGCAGAACUUCAGAAACCUGACUGGUGUCUUAGGACUCUUCAUAGUGUUGUAGUUCAUCCCACAAUAUUCAGCUCUCUCUCUCUCUCUCUCUCUCUCUCUCUCUCUCUCUCUCUCUCUCUCUUUGUUCCUUUUUAAUGGGUAAGAGUUUUCAAAUUGCAAGGCAUGCUGGCAACAUUUCCAUUUUAAGAGGCUUAAAAUUUUAAUUUUCUUUCCCAUCUCAUCAGAGCAUUUUAAAAAGUUUAAUACUCCUUUUUAUUAUGCCACAUACUGAACAUUUCCAACCACUUGAAUCCUGACCCCCCCUCGCCCUUCCCCCAAGCCUGGGCAGGACUUGAUUUUCUAGACAUCAGUAGAUUGUGGAUCCUGUGGCUAGAGAACAUUCCACUGAGAAGAAAUGGGUCAAAGCCCCUCUGCCUUGUGAGACCCCAUUCUGUGAAAGAGAGAGAAGGUGAUGGGUUUGGGUCUGGGGGACAAGUAGCUCAGGUACACGCAGUUUGUCUAGCCUGCCCCUGGCCUUAGGGAUGUUGUUGAUCCUGUCCCUAAAGCAUAGGAUGGCUGUGUCCUCCCUUGGUGUUAGCUUGCUGAAUUGAAUCAGGGUGCUUAUCUUCCCAUUCCAUGCCUGACACUGGUACCCAUCUGUUGCGUUUCCAUCCCAGUGACAACCUCAUUAGAUUUCAAGAAAAGCAGCUAGUGGCUCCAUUAAAAUGUCUUGAAUUAUUUUGGCUUCACCCUUAAGCAACUGCUUAAUUGGCUUCUUUCCCCUGAGACAAGCAUUUUCCUGUGGUGGGAAGAGAGGAAUUAUAGAUUCUGGAACACAAGAUAACUGGGGACUUCUGGAAAGACUCUCCCAUUUGCUGAGGUUUCUUGGAAGAAAAUAUUUGUUAGCACCUCACUGGGCCUGAUUUUUGCAUUGUAAAAACUUUCAGAAUUUAUAUCUGGUUAUUUCAAGUCUAUCAUUUAAAGGGGUGAGAGUAAAUAAGCAGCAAUGGCUACAACAAAGAGAAAUGCAAUGUAGGCUUGUAGGUUAGUUUUCACACGUUCAGGCAAAAAUAGCCUAUUGUUCCUGGGGAAAGAGAACACUUGUAAGUCAACAGCUACUAACUUUCUCAGCGUCUUUGUUCUUGUCAUUAUAUCACUAUGUUUAUGUUUGUAAACCACUGCUAGGUUAACAUUGUACAUGUAAGAAAUGCACAUUAAAACAUUUGCUGAUGGUU